rnacentral:RNase_P_RNA from 1 species
GCGGAGGGCUGGAUGACCGCGGCAGGGCAACCUGUCGAGGAAAGUCCGGACUCCAUAAGGUAAUGGUGCCGGGUAACGCCCGGCGGGGGUAACCCUAGGGAUAGCGCCACAGAGAACAGACCGCCUGUGUCCGCACAGGUAAGGGUGAAACGGUGAGGUAAGAGCUCACCGGGGGGCUGGUAACAGCGCCCGCAUGGCAAGCCCCACCAGGAGCAAUGCCGAAUAGGGAUCGCGCGCGGCGCAAGUCGCAGGGCCACCUUGCCCCAGCAGAUCCGGGUAGGCAGCUAGAUCCGGUCGGCAACGACCGGACCAGAGGAAUGGUCAUCCAGCCGCGCAAGCGGUGGACAAAAUCCGGCUUACAGGCCCUCCGCGCAU